rnacentral:rRNA from 1 species
UACGUAGGGGGCAAGCGUUGUCCGGAUUUAUUGGGCGUAAAGAGCGUGUAGGCGGUUCGGUAGGUCCGUUGUGAAAACUCGAGGCUCAACCUCGAGACGUCGGUGGAAACCGUUUGGCUAGAGUCCGGAAGAGGAGAGUGGAAUUCCCGGUGUAGCGGUGAAAUGCGCAGAUAUCGGGAAGAACACCCGUGGCGAAGGCGGCUCUCUGGGACGGUACUGACGCUGAGACGCGAAAGCGUGGGGAGCGAACAGG